UAAUUUUUAUUUCAACCAAAAAAAUAAAGAAUCUUGCUCACCCAAAUUUCAUCAUACAGAAUGGCCACAAAUAUAUGGCCAAAUACUUGUAAAUUGCAGAGACUGAUGAUGCGUUGCGGCAAUGGAUGCAUACAAAUGGGUCCGGCGAAGUGUUUCUAAUCUGAAUAAGGCGUCGUUGCCCUCCGUCGCGGCUAGCAAAAGUUCCGAAAACAAAUUACAACCCCAAGAAGAGGAUAAAAUCUAUGGAAUCACGGAGAAAUUAAUCGAAUUGGUCAAAUCAUUCUCUAUUGACACCUUCAGGAACUUCGCUCUUCCUGACGAGGAAGAAAGUGGCUCUGAUGUUGGAAAGUCUGGGAAUGUACGGAUGGAUCUUUCUGACUGGCAGGAAACUCAUGCUAUGCUUGUCCUUUCCAGAGUCAAAGAACUUGCGCAACUACGAUUUCAAUUAUGCCCUCGCUAUUUGAAGGAAAAGCAGUUUUGGAGAAUAUACUUUACUCUUGUUAGGAGUUUGGUGGUCGAAUAUGAGCUGCAUGCUGUAAGAGUAGCCAGACUCAAGCAGAUCAGAUUGGAAAACGAUACUGUGUCUAACAGUAGUGCCUGUGAAGUUGAAAUGUCUGAUACAAAAUUUGUACCUCCUUCGGACUCGACAACUUCAGUGGAAUAGAUGUUGUCUUCAAAUUUGCAAAAUUUAUGCUUUAUCUGGUUGAGGAACCUCUGGGAUGUGCGUGAAGAGAAAUUAUUAUAUAGUAUGGAACUCUUUCUGGGAGGCCUCCUGGCUUUUGUGGUAAAUGAAAAUGACUUUGGGAAGGAGCCACUUAUACCAAUCUAUCAGGUACAUGAACUUGCAAGUUUCAAGUUUAAAUGAUAGGAGUACAUUUUACUUAAAAGUAAUCUGAUUUAAAGAAUUAAGUACUACUGUUUAUGAUCAAAUAGACUCGUAAUUCUUGAAUCCAUCAAAGUGUGCUGUGGAUUUGAAGAUUCAUAAAUCUUACUCCAUAUUAGGUGUUUAAUCAAAUCCUAAUCGAGGAUUAAUAAACUGUUAUUACGCAAGUUUUUGCCUUUGUAGAGAUAAGAGUGCAGUCGGCGCACACAGGUUUUUGCCUUGGUUGGUCGUGGUACUUACUCUACCCUACAAUCAGUAUACUGCUUGUUUGAUGAACGUUCAUUUAUAUAGAAUGACAGGUAGUUGAGCAAUAAAUAGUUGCAAUAGUACACUUAUUUGGUCAUGUAUGUUAAUUCAAUCUUGUUGUUUUUUAUGAUUGAAUUUGUAAUCAAUCAUAAUAAAAGCUUUAAAAAGAAGUAAAAUAUCACUUUGUGUCACAAGAGAGAAUAUGAUUCAGCUUACAAGACAUUUUGACAGACUCGUGACAAUAAAUACUCUGCUUCGAGUCUA